rnacentral:rRNA from 1 species
CGGAGGAGCUAGCGUUGUUCGGAAUUACUGGGCGGUAAAGACGCACGUAGGCGGCUUUGUAAGUUAGAGGUGAAGCCUGGAGCUCAACUCCAGAAUUGCCUUUGUAUACUGCAUGGCUUGAAUCCAGGAGAGGUGAGUGGAAUUCCGAGUGUAGAGGUGAAAUUCGUAGAUAUUCGGAAGAACACCAGUGGCGAAGGCGGCUCACUGGACUGGUAUUGACGCUGAGGUGCGAAAGCGUGGGGAGCAAACAGGAUU